rnacentral:rRNA from 1 species
GGUUUUCUGUAAUGAUAGAAAAUCAGGCCUGCUCAAUGCUUUAGUAAAUAGCCGCGGUAUUAUGACCGUGCAAAGGUAGCAUAAUCAUUAGUCUUUUAAUUUGGGACUGGUAUGAAAGGUUAAACUAAGUAACUGUGUCUUAUAAUAAUAUUUUGAAAUUUACUUUUUAGUAAAAAGGCUAAAAUUUUUUUUAGGGACAAGAAGACCCUAUCAAGCUUUACAAGGGAAUUUUAUUUUUCUUAAAGUAAAAAAACUUGUUUAACUGGGGCAGUAAAUAAAUAAAAAUUUUAUUUUAAAAUUACGGUUUCGAUCCCUGUGAAAACGAAAAUUUUUCAAAAAGGAACAAGUUACUGUAGGGAUAACAGCGUAAUUCUUUUAGAGAGUUCUUAUCAUCAGAAGAGUUUGCGACCUCGAUGUUGGAUUAAAAUGUCUAAGCCACGCAAUAGUGAUUUAAGAAAGUCUGUUCGACUUUUAAAAUUUUCCA